rnacentral:lncRNA from 1 species
AAGCCUUUUUGUGAUCCCUUACUCAUGAAAAAGUUUCUAGGACAGUUUCUGAGAAUAAAUUCGAUGGAAACAAUUUCCUUGUAUGAACCUGACAUAAAAUUUGUCCCAUGGGAGCUGGUAAUAUGAGUGAGACUUUUAGGUUACAACAGAAAUACUGUCUGUUGACACAGCCUUAAUUUUUUCUCUCUGAGAACUGAUAAUUGUGUUAUUAUUGAAGAGUUGCACUGUCACUCAUUGGCUGUAUAUUGACAAUUCAGAUUCUGGAAAAUUAAGAAAUGAAUUAUAUGACUCCAUAUUGACCUGUUAAAUGUAGAAUUGCCAGGCAUGUUGCAUGCCUGUAAUCCCAGCUUUUGGGAAGGCUGAGGCAGGAAAAUUGCAAGUUCAUUUGCCUGAGAAACUUAGCAAGUUCCUGUCUUGCUAAGUUUUUAAAAAAUAUUUUAAAAAAUAAUAAAAUGAAAAGGGCUGGGGAUAUAGCUCAGUGGAAGCACUUGCUUAGCGUGUGCAAGGCCCUAGGUUCAGUUCCUAGCAAACACAAAAAAGGAGUUAAUUUCAAAAUUAGUGUUACAAUGCUGUAUUCACAGAUGAACAUUUAUAGGCAGCAAUAUAUGGUGUCUGAACUGACCCACCUAAUCCAGCUACAUAGAGCUGGGAUCAGUCUUAGCAGAUUUCAGAGAUUGUGGGCCCACAAAGUCAUCUUCAUUCAGCACCUUGAGUUUUAUUUUAAAACUAAAUAUGACAUUUGAUACUAGUAUUUUUCUUAAUAUUGGAAUGUUUUUGUCUUGAACUUUGUGCAAUGUAAUCAAAGAUUAAAAAUGUAGUAAAAUUUCUGAUUUGUACUAUUGAGGAAAAGCAUGCCACACAAAUAUGUUUAACUUAUGAAGAAAUUUUAAAUGUAGGUUUGUAAGGUCUUGGUAACGCUAAGAAUGAGCAAGAAAGGAACAAUGACUGAACAAGUAGCAGAUGUAAAUGAAUAUUAUUAAUGAGAUUUUUCUACUAGAUAAUACUGAACCUUUUUUAAAAAUGAAAUUUUGACGCUAACUAGAUAUUUGUUAUUUUAAAUGGAUAGAAAUUGAACUUCUUCCUCAUUUAUUGCCCCAAUAGAUGAAUGCCAAGGUAUUUCAAUGUUUGGACAUUAGUGACCUCCAAGCACAGUUGAGUCCUUGCUUUGGCAGCACAUAUACUAAAAUUGUAACUGUAUAAGUUAGUAUGGCCCCUAUGCAAGGACGACACAAACUUGUGAAGUGUUCCAUAUUAAAAAAAAAAAAAAGUUGGUCCCAAGCCUUUGUGGCCUUUAAUCUUAAGGACAUUUGCUUAAAUAUGAUAUUAAUUAUGUUCACAUGCUUUCUUAUGAUUUCAGAUUCCACAUAUCUGCAGGCAUUUUAUAGUUCCUAAAGCUAACAUGUUAGGUCUUAAUUCUUCAUUAUAAUGCUUUGGAGAAAUACAACUCUCCAUCAUCCUGGAAUUCUCUGGGAUCAGUAAGUCUUUGGACAAUUGCUGCUCAGUUUCUCCCCCCCCCCCCCUUUUUCUGAGUUCUUCCCAUCCAUCUUAUUAGGAAGGAAGUGAAUUAGUUGCACAUGGUCUGUAACACCAGUCAACUUUUAUAUAUGUGGAGGGUACACCUGGAAUUACAGAUUGUCUUCAAGCAGUAACUAUGCUUGGAAAUUGAGCCCGAGACCAAGACUUGUUGAUUCUUUUUAGAUAAGUUUUGAUGGUUUUCAUGAAAUGAUGCAGUUGUAAAUCAGCUAGCAUUCAGUACUGUGUUCUUAUAUGAUUAAAACAAAUGAAUUUAAUGAAGUAAUUGUAAUUAAAUUACUUCAUUAAAUUAAAAUAGUGGUGGUAGGGUUCUGCUUACAAUUGUCCACACAAAAUUUUUCAGUGCCUAGUCAUGUGAUCUAUGAUAGAUAGUAUGAAUAUAUAAUGAGUUUUGCUUUAGGGUUACAAACCACUUACUGGUUGCAAAUCCUAAGAUUCAGGAUGUUUUGUCUAAUUUUUUUCUAGUGCUAGGGACGGAACCCAGGACCUCACACAUGUUGAACAAGUGCUCCACCACUGAGCUACUGCAUCAUCCCUUGUUUUGCCUUAAAUUUAAGUGAGCCAUUGAUUGUCUUGGGACUGUAAGGACAAUUAGGAGUAAUUUCAAGAAUUCUCAGUUAAAAAAAAUGUUUUGGUACAAUAGUGUUGACUGUUUCAUAAGAUGAUUUCUAGGUAGCACAUGUGUGAUCUUUAACAUAAUAUUCCGACUGCUGACUCGUUGGUAAACAUCUAAUUUCCAGUAGCUAUGGAUUCAACUAAAUGACUGGUUUAAGCUUGGUUCCUACUUAAUCUGCAUUUAGCUGGAAUUCGUACUCAACCCUGGCUUGACCAUCCUGUGGGGGUGGGAGUGGGAAUCAUGGGAUAGCAAUGACCCUCCAGUAUUGCUUGAUCUGGGAGUAAGCCAAACCACUACUCCUAUUUUGCUUUGUGAAACUGAAUAACCCUUAAUAAAAAGCACAGAC